rnacentral:lncRNA from 1 species
GGAAAAUUUAAUCAUCAAAACUCUGAAUCUUUUUUAUUCAACUUGAGAGCAUAUCAGGAACAGUUUGAAAACCAUUCUCAUGUCAAAACCAUUUCCUAAACCGUGGUUCAAAACUCAAAACCAUCUUCACAUCUAACCGAGCGUUAUUCAACUAUUCUUAAAGAAACAUUAAAAAAGAGUGAGGGAAAGAGGAGAGGGGGACGGACCACCAAACCUAGCCGUCGGUGUGUGCAGACACGCGACUAUCACCAUCGUUCGCAAAGUUGAAUUUCCAGAAAAAAAACGGGUUUCUGUGUUACUAUAGCUGCUUGAUCCUACCUUGAUUUCAUCUCUUGCCACCAGAUUUAUCUAGAAAACACCGGCGCCGCCGCUGUCGGAGCAUGGCAGCGGCUCCCCUUUUUCUCUAGUUGCCGGAAAUCGAUAAACCACCAUUUAACCGAGAUUGUGGCCUGGAAUCCACCAUGUAACGUCGUCUCCUGUAAUUCUGUAAAGCCUUCACAUUGCCGGAAACCUAAUUGAUUAUUCGAUACGUGUUAUGGUUUCUCGUACGAUGCUAUUGACCGGAGAAUUAUUUGAUUCCGGUGGAUUCGAAUGGACUUUCAUCUUCCUUAGUCAGAUUGAAAAUACAUGCAAAUAUUGUACGAAUCGCUGACUUCCCUGUUAACGAAUUGAUGUAAAAGUUGGC